rnacentral:rRNA from 1 species
GACGAACGCUGGCGGCGUGCUUAACACAUGCAAGUCGAACGAAGUGGCGAACGGGUGAGUAAUACUUGAGUAACCUGCCCUCCUUUUGGGAUAAGCCUUGGAAAAGGGGUCUAAUCCCGAAACAAGGGGGAAGGGCUCGCGGCCUAGCAGCUUGUUGGUGGGGUGAUGGCCUACCAAGGCGGUUACGGGUAGCCGGCCUGAGAGGGUGACGGGCCACCUUGGGACUGAGAUACGGCCCAGAAUCCUACGGUAGGAAGCAGUGGGGAAUAUGGGACAAUGGGCGCAAGCCUGAUCCAGCCAUGCCGCGUGUUUGAAGAAGGUCUUCGGAUUGUAAAGCACUUUAAGUUGGGAGGCGUUACCAACAGAAUAAGCACCGGCUAACUUCGUGCCAGCAGCCGCGGUAAUAC